AUUGAACGCUGGCGGCAGGCCUAACACAUGCAAGUCGAACGAGUGGCGGACGGGUGAGUUAUGUCGGGAAAAGUGCCUGGGGGAGGGGGAUAAAUUGGGAAAACUGUAGCUAAUACCACAACCUCGGAGAUGUGCAGAGAUGGGUAUGGCUUGUUGGUGGGGUAACGGCUCCCCAAGGCGACGAUCCCUAGCUGGUCGGAGAGGAUGACCAGCCACACUGGAACUGAGACACGGUCCAGACUCCUACGGGAGGCAGCAGUGGGGAAUAUUGCACAAUGGGCGCAAGCCUGAUGCAGCCAUGCCGCGUGUAUGAAGAAGGCCUUCGGGUUGUAAAGUACUUUCAGCGGGGAGGCGUUACCCGCAGAAGAAGCACCGGCUAACUCCGUGCCAGCCGCCGCGGUAAUAC
rnacentral:rRNA from 1 species